rnacentral:tRNA from 1 species
AGCUUUAUAUUCAAAUUAAAUGAUAUAAAAUUGCAAAUUUUAUGGUGUAGUUAUACUAAGGCUU